GGGAGGGAUAUCGAUUUCGAUGAUGCUGUGUGGAUCGGUUACUUUCUUUAUAGGGUUCAUGUUGUUACCUUGGGUUAUUGGCGUGUUCAUGGUGUUUUACGUUGCUGGGAUUAUUUCCGCGAUUUCCAUGAUGGGUCGUUCUAUUAUUUGUUAUGUCUUGUCCCCUCCUUCGCCUCGAAAAGAUAUUCCUGCAUGGUAGAUUUUUGUGAAGAGAAAAGGUGGAUUGGGUUAAGCAGUUGGGAGAAGGCCAUUGGGAAUCAACAUUUGAAUUCUUGCGAGUGAUGUUAGGUGUUGCCACAUAGAGAGGUAAACGAGUUUACCAGGUUUCUUCAAGUAUUAAUGCAUGAAAUUCGGAAUGACGCUUGCUUGGGAUGUUGACUGAACUAUGUGAAUAUGGAUGGCUUCCUUUUUUAGCUGAAACAGUGACUUUGUAAAGUAUUUUUAACCGUAUCCAUGUCUAUUGUAUUCUUAUUUACCGGGAAAAAAACAUGGGAGGGUUGAUU